AACCGCUCUUCCAGCCCGCCUCGCGAUUAGUUGCCAGGACUGUCAGUCAUAAGCACUCUUAAGCUGGAUUGGCCGAAACUCGAAAGAGGUGGGCCUAUCUAGCCCGCGCUGUUCACGGUGCGUGAGGUAAAGGCAAAACAAGAGCCCACGGGUGUGAAGCUACGAGUUGGUCGUUCAGAGCCGUGUGGACAUCGCGCCCUGCCUGGCGAUGGGCCUUCUGCUGGGGCUCAUGUUUGCGGUACUGGCCGGGGGUUGCCGAGUCGCGCAGCACCUGGUCCUGCCGUGGGGCAGCCGGCGCCCUUGGUCCCGGAGCUUCCCCGUGUUGUCAAUGGAGCAGCAAAAUGAGAAGGCGAGAGCAUCACCAAGAAUAAGAAAAUCAAACCCAGUGUGAGAUACAAGUGAGUGUCAGAAGGCAACACUUGACCGAAGACUGUGAUGUGAAAGAUUGACACUGCAGAGCUAUCAUUUGGAUGCCUUGUUAUUUCAAUGGUCACUAUCAGGUUAUUUUUUAUAUAUAUGUUUUUGUUAAUAAACCCCUAUUUAUGACAAGA